UUCAUGUGGCUGGGCUCUUCCUUACUUGGGUUUCUCUGUAUUACCUGCUGCACAGACAAGGAGAAUGCUGAUCGAAAGAUGGAAAUAAUCCUUCAGUUAGCAAGGAGCUGAGGCAAGACUCAGGGCCAGCAAUCAGGAAACUGUUGAAAAGAAAGGAGACUCUCCUGCUAAGGCUGCUGUGACUUUCCUUUGUUGGAAGGAAGUCUCCUCAUCUGUAACGACAAUGGUUUGGAGUUCUACCAUGGUCAUAUAAGAUGUGAAAUGAGGAGAAGCUGGGUGAAGAACAUACAGGAACUCUUUUUAUUAUCUUUGUAACUCUUCCAUAAAUUGAGAACUAUUUCAAAAUAAAAAAGGGUUUUUUUUGUU